CUACGGGACGCAGCAGUGGGGAAUAUUGGACAAUGGGGGAAACCCUGAUCCAGCAAUGCCGCGUGUGUGAAGAAGGCCUGCGGGUUGUAAAGCACUUUCGGUUGGGAGGACUGCUUCUAGCACUAAUAUUGUUGGAAGUUGACGUUACCUUCAGAAGAAGCACCGGCUAACUCCGUGCCAGCAGCCGCGGUAAUACGGAGGGUGCAAGCGUUAAUCGGAAUUACUGGGCGUAAAGCGCGCGUAGGCGGCUAGAUCAGUCGGGUGUGAAAGCCCCGGGCUUAACCUGGGAACUGCAUCCGAUACUGUCUAGCUUGAGUACAGGAGAGGAGAGUGGAAUUCCACAUGUAGCGGUGAAAUGCGUAGAUAUGUGGAGGAACACCAAUGGCGAAGGCAGCUCUCUGGCCUGAUACUGACGCUGAGGUGCGAAAGCGUGGGGAGCAAAAGGGAUUAGAUACCCGCGUAGUC
rnacentral:rRNA from 1 species